CAAGGAGGCAUUUGCUAGGCACUUGGUGUUGAUGGUGAAACAAACAGCCUAUAAUAGCAAUCAUACAUUGAAAAAAUCAUUUUUAAUACUAUGGAAAUCAGAUGUGGUAGGAAGCUCUGAGACCACGUAACCCACCGAGGCCGCUACCCGUGACAAUCACGUGUGCCAGACACUAUUCUAGGAGACUUGACUCGCAGAGAAGCUUCACGCGGUGAUGUCCAUUCUACAGCUAAGGACAGGCAGGCCUACUCCGGCCAGGUGCCGGGCCCCCAGCCUGAUCCCAGAGCCCGUCCUCUUGAUGGCAGAACCGAGGGGCGGCCACGGCUUCCCGCGCCAGGUGCGGCGCUGCUGCGGCCCGGCUCGGCCCGGCCCGGCUCGGCUCGGCCCGGCCCGGCCCGGCUCGGUACCCGGCAGGUGCGGUAUCGCCGCAGCCCUGGGUGACGGGGCCGCCGUCGCGCCAACACGCGUCCCCGGAAUGGGCUGGACCCGCCUUCCGCUACGUGACACCGGGAGGACAAUAACGCCGCUACGUCCUCGGGAUGUCGGAGGUGUAGGUGCACCUGCAUGGCUCAGCGGUUAAGCUUCUGCCUUCGGCCCAGGUCGUGAUCCCGCGGUCAUGGGAUCGAAUACCCCAGACGGCUCCCCGCAGGAAGUAUGCAUGUGUCUCUGCCUCUCAUGAAUAAAAAAAAAUUUAAAAAUCUUUAA